rnacentral:lncRNA from 1 species
UCUCUCAUUCACCUUGGGAGUUGAUCUACACUCAUAACCAAAAUGGUCAUAUUUAUUGCAAUUAUAAUAUUGUAUAUGGGAUUUAUUUCCUUGUUGAAAUCUACCUCUACCUCGACCUCGAUCUCAGUCUUGGCCUAAAACUCCUCAUCCAUGACUUGAUGUCUAAUAUUCUUCACUUGCUUGGCCUCUACCAUAUGAUUAAUUGCCUCAUCCAUAUGUUUCUCAUCCACCUCUAUUUCCACUUCUAUAUCCUCCACAAUUGCUUGUACCUUGUCCAAAAUCAUUGCUAGC